CUUUUUUCAAUUAAUGGACUGAACACAAAUUAACAGCAUAACUUUUUGUGGUUUUUUUUAGUUGAUAAUAAUGGAUUGAACAAGAAUGAAUGGUAUAAUGUUUUGUGGUUUUUUUUCUAGUUGUUCAGGCCCACGGUAGAACAGUUAUUGAGGAAAGCCCGUCGGCUAAUCCGGCAGCAGCAUUUUCAGGAGAUUACCAAGACCGAUCCUGUCUGUGCGUUAGCCUAUCUACAGUCGGACUUGGCCGAUACUGUUGAUCACGGUGAUGAUGAAGAGACUAAAGAGUUUCAGUUGCUUGCAUCAAAGCUGUUUCGAACAGAGGAGCAAGAUGAUGAUGUUGACUCAGAUAAAAGAGAUGAAAUAGAGGAAAAGUUUCAUCAGAGAACAGCACUUUUUGAUACACUGGUUGAAUUCUUCCCAGGUGAAAUGACUCAGCCAAAGGAAAACCUUGUAGAACUUAUCACACUCUGAAGAGAUUUUUCCGGAAAAUCACCAAAUAUCACUACUACAACCCACACAAAAAUCAUAUCCUGUUUUUUUUUUUAAUCUGUAAUUUAAUUUUAA